rnacentral:lncRNA from 1 species
ACUUCUGGGAUGUGAUGCCCAACCGCCAUCUCUCCUGGCAUGGGGGUCCCUCAGCUCUCCCUUCCUCCCCACAGGUAAUGGACAGCUCAAUGCCGCUGAUUGGAGAGCAUGUGGAAGAGGACAGACAGCUGAUGGCCGACCUUGUUGUCUCCAAAAUGAGCCAGCUCCCGAUGCCAGGAGGCACAGCGCCCUCCCCCCUCAGACCUUGGGAGGCCCUCGCCAAGCUCAGUCUCCUCAGCCCCAGAGAUCUGGAAGCCCCUCCCAACAGAGGCUCUCCCCACAAGGCCAGCAGCCCCUGAGCCCCCAGUCCGGAUCUCCACAGCAGCAAAGGUCACCAGGCUCUCCGCAGCUAUCCCGGGCAUCCAGUGGCAGCUCCCCAAACCAGGCCUCCAAGCCAGGUGCCACCCUCGCCUCACAGCCCCGGCCCCCUGUGCAGGGCCGUAGUACCUCCCAGCAGGGUGAAGAGUCCAAGAAGCCAGCACCACCCCAUCCGCAUCUCAAGUCUGUUGCCUCCCCUCCUAUGACUGAGCCUCCUGAGGCAGGGCCUGAAUCAUAUUCGUCUUACACCCCUGUCCCCUAGCACAGGGGAAGUGCUCAGCAAGCAGUUGCUACAGGCUGGCAUUUAGGAAGCACUCAGAAUGGCAUCUGCCAUUCAAAAAGAUGGCACUAAAAGAAUUCCAAAAGCGGGUGGGGGACAGAAUUAGCCAUAAAGA